GUUAUUUCAUCAAGAGAAUGUGUACACGCGUUGAGUGCCUUUGCUCAUGAUACGCUUGUGGGCAGCAGCAUCAGUACAGUAGUCUAGUAGCCCUAGAUAACCAGUCACGCCAACAUGACCAAAGAGGCCGAGAUCCCGGAUUUGGUGGGGGCUUAGGAGUUCUAUGGCAAAUAUGACCCCAAUGAGAUCCGGGAAGGACUAUGCAGUCAAGAUCUCGGCUGCAGAGAUCGAGGAGAUCAAAGUGGCCACAGAGAAGGAGAUUGAUAUUCUCAAAAGAAGUCUAUGGAAUGGACAACUUCAGUAAGCAAAAUAACACCAUAAUACAAACAUUAUUGUCCCUUUAAUGGACUUAAGAUACAGUUGAAGUCGGAAGUUUACAUACACUUAGGUUAGAGUCAUUAAA